rnacentral:snRNA from 1 species
UAUCAUCUGAACUAUGCGUUA